UACAGAGGGUGCGAGCGUUAAUCGGAAUUACUGGGCGUAAAGCGCGCGUAGCUGGUUAUGUAAGUCGGAUGUGAAAGCCCCGGGCUCAACCUGGGAAUUGCAUUCGAGACUGCAUAGCUAGGAUGCGGAAGAGGGAAGCGGAAUUUCCGGUGUAGCGGUGAAAUGCGUAGAUAUCGGAAGGAACACCAGUGGCGAAAGCGGCUUCCUGGUCCAGCAUCGACGUUCAGGCACGAAAGCGUGGGGAGCAAACAGG
rnacentral:rRNA from 1 species